rnacentral:rRNA from 1 species
CCUACGGGUGGCAGCAGUGAGGAAUAUUGGUCAAUGGGCGCAAGCCUGAACCAGCCAAGCCGCGUGAAGGAUGAAGGCCCUAAGGAUUGUAAACCUCUUUUAUCAGGGAGCAAAGUAAGCCACGUGUGCCUUUUGGGAAGUACCUGAUGAAUAAGGAUCGGCUAACUCCGUGCCAGCAGCCGCGGUAAUACGGAGGAUGCGAGCGUUAUCCGGAUUUAUUGGGUUUAAAGGGUGCGUAGGCGGGUUGUUAAGUCAGCGGUGAAAGGUUGGAGCUCAACCGUAAAACUGCAAUUGAUACUGGUAGUCUUGAGUACAGGAGAGGUAGGCGGAAUGCGUGGUGUAGCGGUGAAAUGCAUAGAUAUCACGAAGAACUCCGAUUGCGAAGGCAGCCUACUGGACUGCGACUGACGCUGAGGCACGAAAGUGUGGGUAUCGAACAGGAUUAGAUACCCGAGUAGUC